rnacentral:rRNA from 1 species
GAUUAACGCUGGCGGCGUGCAUAACACAUGCAAGUCGAACGAUGAAACUUAGUCGACUUCUUCGGAAAGACACUAAGCGGAUUAGUGGCGAACGGGUGAGUAACGCGUGAGUAACCUGCCUUACACAAGGGGAUAGCCUUUGGAAACGAAGAAUAAUACCCUAUAAAACUAUAAAAGCACAUGCUAUAAUGGUCAAAGUGAUAGCGGUGUAAGAUGGACUUGCGUCUGAUUAGCUAGUUGGUGAGAUAAAAGCUCACCAAGGCAACGAUCAGUAGCCGGCUUGAGAGAGUGUACGGCCACAUUGGGACUGAGACACGGCCCAGACUCCUACGGGAGGCAGCAGUGGGGAAUUUUGCACAAUGGGGGAAACCCUGAUGCAGCGACGCCGCGUGAUUUAGAAGGCCUUCGGGUUGUAAAAAUCUUUUGUAUAGGAAGAAAAUGACAGUACUAUACGAAUAAGGUCCGGCUAAUUACGUG